GGGGGCAUAGCUCAGCUGGGAGAGCAGCAGACUGAAGUUGCGAUAGACAUUACGCAUCUGAAUUCUGAAGGUCCCGCGUUCGAUCCGCGGUGCCCCCA